GAUGAACGCUGGCGGCGUGCCUAAUACAUGCAAGUCGAGCGAACGGACGAGAAGCUUGCUUCUCUGAUGUUAGCGGCGGACGGGUGAGUAACACGUGGAUAACCUACCUAUAAGACUGGGAUAACUUCGGGAAACCGGAGCUAAUACCGGAUAAUAUUUUGAACCGCAUGGUUCAAAAGUGAAAGACGGUCUUGCUGUCACUUAUAGAUGGAUCCGCGCUGCAUUAGCUAGUUGGUAAGGUAACGGCUUACCAAGGCAACGAUGCAUAGCCGACCUGAGAGGGGGAUCGGCCACACUGGAACUGAGACACGGUCCAGACUCCUACGGGAGGCAGCAGGAGGGAAUCUUCCGCAAUGGGCGAAAGCCUGACGGAGCAACGCCGCGUGAGUGAUGAAGGGUUUCGGAUCGUAAAACUCUGUUAUUAGGGAAGAACAUAUGUGGAAGUAACUGUGCACAUCUUGACGGUACCUAAUCAGAAAGCCACGGCUAAAUACGUU
rnacentral:rRNA from 1 species